UGGGGAAUUGUUCGCAAUGGGCGCAAGCCUGACGACGCAACGCCGCGUGGAGGAUGAAGAUUUUCGGAUCGUAAACUCCUGUCGAAUGGGACGAACAGAUUGCGGGUUAACAGCCCGCAGUCCUGACGGUACCGUUAAAGGAAACCCCGGCUAACUCCGUGCCAGCAGCCGCGGUAAUACGGGGGGGGUAAGCGUUGUUCGGAAUUACUGGGCGUAAAGGGCUCGUAGGCGGCCAACUAAGUCAUACGUGAAAUCCCUCAGCUUAACUGGGGAACUGCGUGUGAUACUGGAUGGCUUGGAUUUGGGAGAGGGAUGCGGAAUUCCAGGUGUAGCGGUGAAAUGCGUAGAUAUCUGGAGGAACACCGGUGGCGAAGGCGGCAUCCUGGACCAAUAUUGACGCUGAGGAGCGAAAGCCAGGGGAGCAAACGG
rnacentral:rRNA from 1 species